GUGCAACCCAAAUUCUCAGGUUGCGUCCGUGCUAAAACCUCUUAAAACGAUUCCGGCGCAGCCACGUUUUCCCUGGUGUUGGCGCAGUAUUCGCGCACCCCGGUUCAUCC
rnacentral:sRNA from 1 species